rnacentral:lncRNA from 1 species
GCUCAGAAGAAACUGAAUUGAAGGAAAGACAGUUGAUCUUGAAGCGGGCUUGUUCUUUCCAUUUGGGCCAUCCCAGGGGAUUCCUACAUCUGUCCUGCUUUUUGGAGGCUGGUU